GCGCUCACUUCAGCAGUACAUACACUAAAAUUGGAACAAUACAGAGAAGAUUAGUAUGGCUCCUGCACAAGGAUGAGAUGUAUGAUAAAAUAAGAAUUCAAAUCAAA